rnacentral:misc_RNA from 1 species
UCCGACUUAACGUCGGCAGUCCUUCUAGAGUGCCCAACUAAAUGCUGGCAACUAAAAGCAAGGGUUGCGCUCGUUGCGGGACUUAACCCAACAUCUCACGACACGAGCUGACGACAGCCAUGCAGCACCUGUGUACCGGCCCUUGCGGGCGACGACAUCUCUGCCAGUCUUCCAGUACAUGUCAAAUCCAGGUAAGGUUCUUCGCGUUGCAUCGAAUUAAACCACAUGCUCCACCGCUUGUGCGGGCCCCCGUCAAUUUCUUUGAGUUUUAGCCUUGCGGCCGUACUCCCCAGGCGGGGCACUUAAUGCGUUAGCUUCGGCACGGAGGGAGUCGACACCCCCCACACCUAGUGCCCAUCGUUUACAGCGUGGACUAC